AAACCCAAUGCCGACGGCAUACUUUGCCAUCGGCGUGUUGGGCCCUCGUCGGACCUGGCGUCGACGUGGCCUUGAAUCCAUUGGUCGAGAUGAGCGGACGAGAUCCUCUGGGACAGAGACCGUUCAUGAGACCCUAAAGACAUCUGAA
rnacentral:misc_RNA from 1 species